rnacentral:lncRNA from 1 species
UCUCAGAGACUCCUAUUCAUAGAAUCAUAGAAUCGUAGAAUCGUAGAAUCGUAGAAUCGUAGAAUCAUAGAAUCAUAGAAUCGUGGAAUCAUGGAAUCAUAGAAUGGCCUGGGUUGAAAAGGACCUCAAAGAUCAUCGAGUUUCAACCCCCCUGCUGAGUGCAGGGUCGCCAACCACUAGACCAGGCUGCCCAGAGCCACGUCCAGCCUGGCCUGGAAUUCCACAGAGGCACACUCACUUCCAGAGUGCCCUUAUUUUCUAGACUAUUCCACUUAAGAUGAGUUUAUCUUUAUUUUACUGUUACUUACUCUUUUCUUCUUCAGAUAUCCUAAAUCCAGAGGUAGACAUCUGGAGUUCAGCUCUUGAUGCUGUGCCAUGAGAAAUGAGGGUCUGCAGUUGACUUCCAUAGCCCCAAGUUUCAUUAGUUUGACAUGCUUGAUGUUUAAAAAGUUGACAAAAUUAGGCUAUUGAGUUAUACAGACACCUAUUUGCAGGUUUAGGAGCUGGGCUGAUUUUGGGUUCCAAAGCUUCUGUCCCCAAGGAACCCCCCUCAUCCCACGGCCAGAUCCUACAUGAGGCAGAAGUGAGGCAGGGCAACAGCAGUGGGAGCGCAGGCCGAGCCCAGGACCUCCACCUCCUCUUUGGCAGCUAUGAGGCUACUUCUGUCAGCUUUCCAUUCCCUUCUCCCCGAAUACCAAGGGGUAACAGUAUUAGAUAUGAAAUUCACCCUCGGAGUGGUAACAGGUGUUUAUUUUGUCCUUUCAUGUUUAAUUUGUCCAUCCAGGCUGGAUGUGGCUCUGGGCAGCCUGGUCUAGUGGAUGGCAACCCUGCACGCAGCAGGGGGUUUGAAACUAGAUGAUCAUUAUGGUCCUUUUCAACCCAAGCCGUUCUAUGAUUCUACGAUUCUUUCAUAGCUGGUUCACCAGAUGCUUUCUCAGGCGAGUGCUUGUGACCCAGACCUGGUGCCACCCAGAUGGAAAUGCAGAAGCGCUGCACCCUGGAGGGAUGGGAAUUCUGGCAAACCAGGAAAUGAAACCUCUCAUCUUUCUCACUCUCCAGAAAGGCUUUGCAAGCUGGGGAACUGAUGGAACACCUGAAACAGAAUGAGAGAAAGGAUUGUAUAGGAUUAUACUAAGUAAGCUUUCUGGUGGGAAGCCUGCAAUUAUAUAUUAUGUACUGUCAGCACAUGGAGCG